UUACAAAUUUUAUGGCCGAUUGAUACUGAAUGAGCCACCUCUUUAACAUCGGCUUGUAAGUUGUGAGUUGUGAGUUGUGAGUAAAUUCGAUUUUAUGGUGUAGGUUAUCCCACAUGGGAAAGAAGCAAGAAGAACAAGGAAGAGGCGCUAUGAUAUAAAGAAAAAAGCAGGGCUCCGUGAAACAUACUUACCUGGACGGGGUCGAUGGGUGAUCAAAAAGGCCCAUGGCCUAGGUCAGUGACUUCCAUUGCACUCUGGAAGGGUGCUGUCCUAAGGUCUGCCCAAGUGGCAGAACCUACGUCAUAAUUUGUGUUAGUGGGGGCCUGCGUUCGCGCGGCCCCCGUUCCAAUACGCUUCAAAUUUUGUCUUUUUCGAAGUCUUUUGGCAUUUUCCCAAAUGUUUUGUGUUUUUGCGUGUGUGAUGUGUUUUACCAAAGGUCCUUCCAUUGCUACGGGCAGAAGGAAACACGAGGACCGGCGGAACUUCUUGUAGCUUUGGAGGAGACUGCUAUGUUCUGGUUUCUUUACUGUCGAUUUGUUCUCUGCUGGAUGCGGUAAUGGAAGCUUCAAGGGAGAUAGAUUGCCAGGGUUGUUUUGUUACCGUUAAUAUGAGAAUUCCGAUUCUAAGGGUUAUCCCACAUGGGAAACAAGCAGGGAGAACAAGUCUGAGGCGCUAUUAUAUAACGAUAAACACGAGCCCGGGUAAAUUUACUUACCUGGACGGGGUCGAUGGGCGAUCAACAAGGCUCAUGGCUUAGGUCAGUGGCUUCCAUUGAACUUUAGGAAUUGUGCUGUCCUAAGGUCUGCCCAAGUGGCAGAGCCCAUGUCAUAAUUUGUGAUAGUGGGAGCCUGCGUUUGUGCGGAUCCCGUUCCAAAACACUUCAUAUUCUUAUGUGCUUGGUUGGGGUUAGAAAUUGCUUGCAGUGAAGCUAUUUGAUGAAAUGCCUAGCUAUGUUUGUUGGGUGCAACGAGUUUGCAUUUGUGUUUUAAAUUGUAGCCAACCUUGGUCGAUUUGUGUCGACAAGGUAAACUGUGAUUGAUGUUGGGUAUAUGUUAGCUCAGGUCAGGAUACUCGAUGUCUGUUAUUUCAUCGGUGCUACAUUUGUGCACUGAUAUAUUGAACUUGCAACACACGGAAAAGUUAUUUUAUAUUACAAUAACAGAUUAUUUCACA